rnacentral:rRNA from 1 species
UACGUAGGGUCCAAGCGUUAUCCGGAAUCACUGGGCGUAAAGCGUGCGUCGGCGGAUGUUUAAGUGCAAUGCGAAAUCCUGUGGCUCAACCAUAUGGACUGUAUUGCAUACUGGAUAUCUGGAGGAAUGCAGAGGCAAGUGGAAUUACCGGUGUAGCAGUGAAAUGCGUAGAGAUCGGUAGGAACACCAAUGGCGAAGGCAGCUUGCUGGGCAUUUUCUGACGCUAAGGCACGAAAGCGUGGGGAGCGAACAGG